AACGAACGCUGGCGGCAGGCCUAACACAUGCAAGUCGAGCGAGCAUUUCGGUGCUAGCGGCGGACGGGUGAGUAACGCGUGGGAACGUGCCCUUUUCUGCGGAAUAGUCCUGGGAAGCUGGGGGUAAUACCGCAUACGCCCUUUUGGGGAAAGAUUUAUCGGAGAAGGAUCGGCCCGCGUUGGAUUAGGUAGUUGGUGGGGUAAUGGCCCACCAAGCCGACGAUCCAUAGCUGGUUUGAGAGGAUGAUCAGCCACACUGGGACUGAGACACGGCCCAGACUCCUACGGGAGGCAGCAGUGGGGAAUCUUAGACAAUGGGGGCAACCCUGAUCUAGCCAUGCCGCGUGAGUGAUGAAGGCCUUAGGGUUGUAAAGCUCUUUCAGCUGGGAAGAUAAUGACGGUACCAGCAGAAGAAGCCCCGGCUAACUCCGUG
rnacentral:rRNA from 1 species